rnacentral:rRNA from 1 species
CAGAGGUCCCAAGCGUUGUUCGGAUUUACUGGGCGUAAAGGGUGCGUAGGCGGUUGUUUAAGUCUGACGUGAAAUCUCCGGGCCUAACCCGGAAACUGCGUUGGAUACUAUUCAACUAGAGGAAUGGAGGGGGAGACUGGAAUACUUGGUGUAGCAGUGAAAUGCGUAGAUAUCAAGUGGAACACCAGUGGCGAAGGCGAGUCUCUGGACAUUUCCUGACGCUGAGGCACGAAAGCCAGGGGGAGCAAACGGGAUUAGAUACCCCGGUAGUCCUGGCCCUAAACGGUGCGCGUUUGCUGUAAGUGGAAUCGACCCCACUUGUGGCGUAGUUAACACGUUAAACGCGCCGCCUGGGAAGUACGGCCGCAAGGUUA